rnacentral:rRNA from 1 species
UGGGGAAUCUUGCGCAAUGGGCGAAAGCCUGACGCAGCGACACCGCGUGGGGGACGAAGGCCUUUCAGGUCGUAAACCCCUUUCGGCAGGGACGAAGCGACACCGUGACGGUACCUGCAGAAGAAGCCUCGGCUAACUACGUGCCAGCAGCCGCGGUAACACGUAGGAGGCGAGCGUUGUCCGGAAUCAUUGGGCGUAAAGAGCGCGCAGGCGGCUUGGCAAGUCGGGUGUGAAAUCCCGGGGCUCAACCCCGUGACUGCAUUCGAUACUGUCAGGCUAGAGGUAGGUAGGGGAGAUCGGAAUUCCUGGUGUAGCGGUGAAAUGCGCAGAUAUCAGGAGGAACACCGGUGGCGAAGGCGGAUCUCUGGGCCUUACCUGACGCUCAGGCGCGAAAGCUAGGGGAGCGAACA